rnacentral:rRNA from 1 species
CUUUUAUUGAGAGUUUGAUCCUGGCUCAGGACGAACGCUGGCGGCGUGCCUAAUACAUGCAAGUCGAGC